rnacentral:lncRNA from 1 species
AUCGUAUUCUGCCCUACCGAGUUCAGCGCCAGAUACCUCUGAGCCAACUAACAGCGGGUAAGUUUUUCUUUUUCUUUUUCUUUUUCUUUUUCUUUUUGGAGCAAAUUUUUACAAUUCUUUGGUUUAAAUGACUUUGUGAGGGUCACCUAUACUGGAGUUGUCUUUUUUUUGCUUUUUUUUUGUUUUACUGGAUCAUUCACUUAUUUGCAUCGGUCCCCUACGUAUAGGAUACGUAGGCCGGAGCUGACUGCUGAGAUAAACUACUGAGGACUUAUACGGAAAUGAUGAUUAAGGCCAUGGUAUAUGGG